UCAGUCGGUCGGGCAGCCGCGCUUGUCAUAUGCCGAAAGGCGGCAGGUGAGGAAAGUCCGGGCUCCAUGGAAACACGAUGCCGGGUAACGCCCGGCGGGGGCGACCCCAGGGACAGUGCCACAGAGAGUAGACCGCCCCGUCUUCCGUACCGCUUGGUCAAGCGGCAGGGAUGACGGGGUAAGGGUGAAAGGGUGGGGUAAGAGCCACCGCGCCGGUGGCAACACAGGCGGCACGGUAAACCCCAUUGGGAGCAAAACCGAAUAGGGACGGCGCGCGGUUCGCAAGAACCGGCAAUCAGUUUCCGGAUCAGCCGUCCGGGUGGGUUGCAAGAGGCGGGUGGCGACAUCCGUCCCAGAUGAAUGGCUGCCACGUUGGACGCAAGUC
rnacentral:RNase_P_RNA from 1 species